rnacentral:lncRNA from 1 species
UGGCUCAGGCGCGCGCAGCUGGCUGGGCCGGCUCGGUCCAGUUCGCGCGCGGGUGAAGCUGGGCCGGUUCGGCCCAUUUGGUCGGACCGGUCUGGUUUCUUCCCCUUUUUUUCUUUUAGCCUUUUCUUUUUUCCAUUUUCUCAUUUCUUUGAUAUCUUUUGAUUUUGAACUCCAAAUUGGCCCAAAUAAAUUCCAGAAAAUUUGUAAAAUCAUGUUUUAUCAUGAUUCAACUUUUGGGAGUAAUUUCCCGUCAAAAUAAAAUAUAUAAAAAAUACAUUUUCCCUAUAAAUGCCUUUAGGGCUAUAUAACUAUUUAAAUAAAAUAGUUUUUUAACUCCAAAUAAUUAUCCAAAAAUUAUGGGAUUGCUUAUUUAUGCAAUAAACCCCUUUUAUAAAUAAACCCUAUUGGUUUGAAGAUCCAAAGCUCAAAUUGGUGUAAACCCUAGGUUUAAAUUGAAAUAAAAUCUUUUAAAGCAUUUUGUGAUUCAAAUUUGAAUUCAAAUAUGCAAUUGUGGCAUGAUGCUUAUGGAUGCAAUGCACAUGUAAGAAUUUGAAAUUUUUGGGAUGUUACAGCGCAAGAUGGUGGCCACAUAUUCCUGAAUAGAUUUCUAGGAGGAGGUCGGCUCCCCGGUCAGGAGUUAUGCACUUAAGCAACGCAGCCACUCCUUUUUUGUAUAGGAUGCCGUCGAGGAGGACGUUCAUCUUUGCUUUUGCGAGCAGAGUUUUGGCGCUUGGGCCUUCUGCUUCUUCGUCCACCUCGCCUUUCAAGGUGCGGAUAAUCGGUGUCAUCCAAUAGGGUGGAGCGUCGAUAACCAUGCUGGUCUUUGA